rnacentral:ncRNA from 1 species
AUCUUAUUCAGAGCUACGGAGGCUAGUGACCAACGAUGUAGCAGCAACCUGCCAUGCAAGGUGCUAACGACAAGGGACAAUGUCCAUCAAUGAGAA